rnacentral:rRNA from 1 species
UACGAAGGGGGCUAGCGUUGUUCGGAAUCACUGGGCGUAAAGCGCACGUAGGCGGAUCUUUAAGUCAGGGGUGAAAUCCUGGAGCUCAACUCCAGAACUGCCUUUGAUACUGGGAGCCUUGAGUUCGAGAGAGGUGAGUGGAACUGCGAGUGUAGAGGUGAAAUUCGUAGAUAUUCGCAAGAACACCAGUGGCGAAGGCGGCUCACUGGCUCGAUACUGACGCUGAGGUGCGAAAGCGUGGGGAGCAAACAGG